AGGGUUGUGGCUCAGUGGUAGAAUGUUUGCCUGGCAUGCAUGAGGAACUGAGUUUGAUUCUCAGCACCACAU
rnacentral:tRNA from 1 species